AAAUAAUAUUGCUCAUUUAUUACAACAACGAUACGAUUCAGAAAACAAAAAUUUUCAGGAAAUACGUUUGAAUGUUUUAAACUAAAAUUUUGGAAUAUUAAUUUUGAAAAAUACAAUUUUUUUAGAGGUAAAUAGUAGAUUAUAGAGGAAAAGUCUUUUUCUUUUUUUCUUUAUAUUUCCAUUCUAAAAAGUUUCCAUUACGCCAUCAACUAAAAAAUAAAAAUUUUUUAAUUAUGUCGUUACAACGAUAUACUGCGAUGAAAUGAGCGAUAUAUAUGUGUUGAUAUUCGUCCGUUCGUGCUGUUACCCAAAUUCAAUGUAAUUACGCAAACGGAUCUUCCUCUAAAAGAACGCAAACAAACUUAAAAUAUUGAAUAUAAUCAAUAAAAUUAAAUACCUCGUAUCUUAUGGAGGUACUGCUACUCUUUUCGUUAAACUGCUAGAAAUCAUAAUUUUAACUCUAAAACGAUACUUGGAAGUGCCUGGAAGUUUGCCAACGAUUUUCGGUUUUGCCUACAUGCCGGACGGAAAUUUUUGUCAACAUGAGAAUUUCGCUUCUUUUUUUUCGAGGUCCUUAAGUGUUGCGAUAAAAUCAGGGACCGUGGCAAGGUUAACGAGCGGCCACGACGCGAAUUGUGUCUCAAGUUUAGAGGCACGGAAGCACGCCGCGUGUCGCCGACGCGUGCGAUUACGUAUGACGUAUGACGUGACUCAUGCAGGACCCGUCGUUCGCCCGCCGAGGAAGAGGUAAACGCCGAGGAAGCGACGUCUCCGUCGUUCGGGAGCACCGGAAGACACCCGACAGCUGCGCCAGCGGUGACUCACGCGAGCACACCGCCAGCAUACGUUAUCGAGUGUCGUCUCGUUUUCUAUUGUGUACUGCUGCCCUGCAGACGAAGCCAAUGAUGCGAAAAGUUCGGACUCGAUGAUGAGUUUCCGAAAGCACGUCGUGAAAGACAAGAAGAUAGAUAUCGCGCAACGUGAUUACGCUCGUUAACACUUGAUAUAUGAAUCCAAAGGUUUCGACAGAAGGCACAAAAUGGAAAUUUCAAGAUUGUCGUCUAUUUGUAAAAUAAAAUCAUCUGAUCCGUCGACGAGCGAAAGACAGUCUACAUCUAAUGAAAAUUUGACACUUCAAGAGGAACACAGUACUGACAUAGAAACAAGCGGAGCACAAUCUUCACCUUGUGCAAUUUUCAAAUUUUCAGAAGAACUAAUGUUUUAUCAUGGAACUAAUAGAAAUAAGUGUAAAAGUACGAUUUAAUUGCAAUUACAAAACGUAUUUAAUAAAAGAAAUUCAAGUAUA